rfam:Aspergillus aculeatus ATCC 16872 unplaced genomic scaffold ASPACscaffold_23, whole genome shotgun sequence.
GGGGCAAUGGCGCAUCUGGGAGCGCGUCAGACUGAAGUACUAACUUCGGCCAUUAAUCUGAAGGUGGCCGGUUCAAGCCCGGCUUGCCCCA